GGCUCCUUCCUCUCGGCGAGGGUGGGCCGGCCGGUAUCACCGUGACAUCACCUCCAUUCACGGCGCUUAUCCGGCGCCCGCGGCGCUCCAGGUUCUCCAGACAUCRGCUCUAGUCCCCUGCAGCCCUGCCUCAGGCAGGUGAAGGACUGGACUGUCUGUUGCCUGAUCGUGGAUCACCACCCGGGAGUCCUUUGCAAAGGGGCCCCACUCUCAAGGGCUGAGCCCUGGGGAAAUGUAGGAGCGGAUCUUCGUUCCACAUGGUGGAAGGGAUGAUUAAGGAACAGCAAGUUGCUGUGAGACAUCUCCUCUGUUCUCUUGCCUUCUUAUUCCCCAGCCCCCAAUAUUUUCCAGCCCUGUGUGAAGUCAUCCCUGUCAAGUUCAAGGUUUGCCUCCUUCACAGUCCCCUGGGAGCGCAUGAAGACUACAGGCUUCUGAACCUGUUCCAUAAGAAUCUCCAAGUGUUGGGAGUUCAUAACCCACUUGAAUCAAACUGUGAAAUAUGAUAUAUUAAGAACUGUGUAAUGUUUUGAACUACCAACAAUAAAAAAAAAAAAAAAGAAUCUCCAAGUGCAACAGACUAUUAGGUCUCAUA